rnacentral:rRNA from 1 species
CAGCAGCCGCGGUAAUACAGAGGGUGCGAGCGUUAAUCGGAUUUACUGGGCGUAAAGCGUGCGUAGGCGGCUUCUUAAGUCGGAUGUGAAAUCCCUGAGCUUAACUUAGGAAUUGCAUUCGAUACUGGGAAGCUAGAGUAUGGGAGAGGAUGGUAGAAUUCCAGGUGUAGCGGUGAAAUGCGUAGAGAUCUGGAGGAAUACCGAUGGCGAAGGCAGCCAUCUGGCCUAAUACUGACGCUGAGGUACGAAAGCAUGGGGAGCAAACAGGAUUAGACCCCUGUAGUCCCUGUCUCUUAUACAC